rnacentral:lncRNA from 1 species
CAGCCGCUGACUGCGACCCUGGGGACACUGGAGGGGACUCCAGGGACAGAGUGGGUGGGCCUUUCCCCCCCGCACGCGCCUCUGUCACUCUCUUUCGGGGCCAGAGCCGGGGCAGCGCUUUAAAUUAAGGUCGACCUCCAGCGCUGGGUGAAGUCUUGGGUCCGCCCGGGAGCCCUAGAAGAAACUGGGGCAGCAUGAAUGUGCUGGAAGAUUAGAGGCUGCUGACACUGAAGGAAGGAGAAAUGAGGAGGAAGAUCCCUGUGGACAAGUCAUCUCCCUUCAUUUAAGCCAGGCCAGUAGUCCGGGAGACAUUCCGAAUGAUGCAUUAUCCUAGGCACCAGAAAGUAGCUAACAUUCUCAUGGACAGCAGGGAAAAAUGAAUACAUGAGACAGGGGAAGAUUCCAGCACCUGUGAACAUGUUUAUGCAGGUUUCCAGUCAGUACACGGAUAUCCCUCAAGCCUUUGAAUGCAGUCUCCUGUGUUGUGAUUGGACCGUUCGUUAUUAGGUUUCCAAUGGCAGAGUAACGCAGUGGGAGAACUGGCUAUGAUGGCCACAGGAAGUAAAUAAAGUAUUGUUGUGUUUUUAGUAGAACCACUAAAGGAAGAUCUGCAGGCAACUUGGAUGAGUAUAAUAGCCAAAGAUUGACAAGACUUCCUCAGAUGCUCCUACUGACCAGUGGGGGCACUUCUACAGCUCCCGGAAUAUGUUCUCCCUGCAACCCCCACCACUUUUUAAUUAAAUGGCCAGAACUGCCUUUUUGUAUCAAAACUUAUUUUAGUCUAUCAAUCAAAGAAGGCUUCUAUAGCCCACCUCAUGGCGAAGGAUAUCAGACAUGUAAAAGAUAAUUGUUUUGACAUAUUUAUUAUCACUACUAGCGACUCUUUUGGCAUUCACGUUGGCUGGUAUGCAGAAAAGGGUGCUUUACAGGAUUCUUGGAAAUGUGUAGUGGAUGCUGGCUCUAGGGGAGGCAGAAUAGAGUGUGGGCUCUGCCGUGGGUCACAUCCAGGUUUUAAUUCUUCUACCUCUGCCACAUGACCUUGAGCACACUGGAAAACCCUAUUAGAUGUGCAAGAAGGCUUCCUCAUCUGUAAAGGGGGAAUAGCAAUACUUAAGUCACCCGGUUGUUGUGAGUAAUACAUAAGUUAAUGUAUGCUAACUUUCUAGAAAGUUUCCUGGCACAAAGUUAUAUUUAAUAAAUGAUUUUUAAAACAA